GACGAACGCUGGCGGCGUGCCUAAUACAUGCAAGUCGAACGCUUCUUUCCUCCCGAGUGCUUGCACUCAAUUGGAAAGAGGAGUGGCGGACGGGUGAGUAACACGUGGGUAACCUACCCAUCAGAGGGGGAUAACACUUGGAAACAGGUGCUAAUACCGCAUAACAGUUUAUGCCGCAUGGCAUAAGAGUGAAGGGCGCUUUCGGGUGUCGCUGAUGGAUGGACCCGCGGUGCAUUAGCUAGUUGGUGAGGUAACGGCUCACCAAGGCCACGAUGCAUAGCCGACCUGAGAGGGUGAUCGGCCACACUGGGACUGAGACACGGCCCAGACUCCUACGGGAGGCAGCAGUAGGGAAUCUUCGGCAAUGGACGAAAGUCUGACCGAGCAACGCCGCGUGAGUGAAGAAGGAUUUCGGAUCGUAAAACUCUGUUGUUAGAGAAGAACAAGGACGUUAGUAACUGAACGUCCCCUGACGGUAUCUAACCAGAAAGCCACGGCUAACUACGUG
rnacentral:rRNA from 1 species